rnacentral:rRNA from 1 species
AGUCUGACGGAGCAACGCCGCGUGAGUGAUGAAGGUUUUCGGAUCGUAAAGCUCUGUUGUUAGGGAAGAACAAGUGCAAGAGUAACUGCUUGCACCUUGACGGUACCUAACCAGAAAGCCACGGCUAACUACGUGCCAGCAGCCGCGGUAAUACGUAGGUGGCAAGCGUUGUCCGGAAUUAUUGGGCGUAAAGGGCUCGCAGGCGGUUUCUUAAGUCUGAUGUGAAAGCCCCCGGCUCAACCGGGGAGGGUCAUUGGAAACUGGGAAACUUGAGUGCAGAAGAGGAGAGUGGAAUUCCACGUGUAGCGGUGAAAUGCGUAGAGAUGUGGAGGAACACCAGUGGCGAAGGCGACUCUCUGGUCUGUAACUGACGCUGAGGAGCGAAAGCGUGGGGAGCGAACAGGAUUAGAUACCCUGGUAGUCCACGCCGUAAACGAUGAGUGCUAAGUGUUAGGGGGUUUCCGCCCCUUAGUGCUGCAGCUAACGCAUUAAGCACUCCGCCUGGGGAGUACGGUCGCAAGACUGAAACUCAAAGGAAUUGACGGGGGCCCGCACAAGCGGUGGAGCAUGUGGUUUAAUUCGAAGCAACGCGAAGAACCUUACCAGGUCUUGACAUCCUCUGACAACCCUAGAGAUAGGGCUUUCCCUUCGGGGACAGAGUGACAGGUGGUGCAUGGUUGUCGUCAGCUCGUGUCGUGAGAUGUUGGGUUAAGUCCCGCAACGAGCGCAACCCUUGAUCUUAGUUGCCAGCAUUCAGUUGGGCACUCUAAGGUGACUGCCGGUGACAAACCGGAGGAAGGUGGGGAUGACGUCAAAUCAUCAUGCCCCUUAUGACCUGGGCUACACACGUGCUACAAUGGACAGAACAAAGGGCUGCGAGACCGCAAGGUUUAGCCAAUCCCACAAAUCUGUUCUCAGUUCGGAUCGCAGUCUGCAACUCGACUGCGUGAAGCUGGAAUCGCUAGUAAUCGCGGAUCAGCAUGCCGCGGUGAAUACGUUC